rnacentral:rRNA from 1 species
GACGAACGCUGGCGGCGCGCUUAACACAUGCAAGUCGAGCGGUAAGGCCCUUUCGGGGGUACACGAGCGGCGAACGGGUGAGUAACACGUGGGUGACCUGCCCUCAGCUCUGGGAUAAGCCUGGGAAACCGGGUCUAAUACCGGAUAUGACUCCAUGACGCAUGUUGUGGGGUGGAAAGCCUUGUGCGGCUGAGGAUGGGCCCGCGGCCUAUCAGCUUGUUGGUGGGGUGAUGGCCUACCAAGGCGACGACGGGUAGCCGGCCUGAGAGGGCGACCGGCCACACUGGGACUGAGACACGGCCCAGACUCCUACGGGAGGCAGCAGUGGGGAAUCUUGCGCAAUGGGCGAAAGCCUGACGCAGCGACGCCGCGUGAGGGAUGACGGCCUCGG